rnacentral:tRNA from 1 species
UAAGACCUGUAGGAUUCUAACCCACAUAUUAUGAAUGCAACUCAAAUUCUUUUAUUAAGAUAAAGUCU